AUGGAGGAGCUAGCGUUGUAUGCAGCCCCCGCCCAUUCACUGCCUGCCGUCAAGGAAUGUGGAACAAGAAGGUCCCACUGGAAUCGUCGAGCUAAACUGGGCAAAGAUCCUGCGGUGAGCCCCAGCAUCUUCCCGCUGAGCCUCCCUCAACCUAAUAGUAAUGGAAACGUGGUUGUUGGCGUCCUGAUCCGGGGCUACUUCCCUGUGGGCCCUCUGAGUGUGAGCUGGAAUGUCAACGGGAACAUCACUAACUUCCCACCCAAGGCCUCUGGGAGCCUGUACACCUCAUGCAGCCAACUCAUACCAGCUGUGCCGUGUCCUGAAGGAAACAAUGUGUUGAGCACCGUGCAGCACUACAACAACGGCCAGCAGGUGGACGUACCCUGCCUAGCCCAAUGUCCUUGCCCCUGCCCCUCCUGCAAGCCCAGCAUCUUCCUGCAGCGGCCAAGCAUCAAAGACCUGCUCCUCAACUCAGAAGCCAACAUCACCUGCACACUGAAAGGCCUGAAGAACCCCGAUGGUGCCGUCUUCACCUGGUCACCCGACACGGGGAACACACCUGUGCUGCUUAGUGCCCAGGAGGACUCCUGCGGCUGCUACAGUGUGUCCAGCGUGCUGCCUGGCUGUGCAGAACUCUGGAAAGAGGGGAAGACCUUCACAUGCACUGUCCAACACCCUGAGAUAGAGGGCUCACUGACUGACACCAUCAGCAAAGACACAGGGAAUGUCAUCCCACCCCAGGUGCACCUGCUACCGCCACCAUCAGAAGAGCUGGCCCUGAACGAGCUGGUGACACUGACCUGCCUGGUGCGCGGCUUCAGCCCCAAGGACGUGCUCAUCUACUGGCUGCACCUACACAAGCUGGUCCCCAAGGAAGACUUCAUCGUGUUUAAGCCCCUGCCAGAACCCAACCAGAAUUCCAGCACCUUCGCCGUGACCAGCCUGCUGCGCGUCUCGGUCGUGGAUUGGAACAACGGGGACAACUUCUCCUGCGUGGUGGGCCACGAGGGCCUGCCCGAGAACUUCACCGAGAAGACCAUCGACCGUCUGUCGGGUAAACCCACCCACGUCAAUGUGUCUGUGGUCGUGGCAGACGUGGAAAGUGUCUGCUACUGAGCCGCCUGCCUGCCCUGCCCUGAAUAAACUGUGUGCUGGCCCCAGCA